CACUAGGCUACCCUGCCGCCCUCGGUAUUACCAAGUAGACCGAUACCACAUUUCAAUACUCUAACCUUGUUUAACAUUAUCUAGUCUAAAUAUGGCAUGAUUCCACCAAUUGUAACCUUCUGUAUCAAUUUCAAAGAGUGACUUAUUUUGAAGGCAACACGCAAUUUCUGCUAUUGUGGCUAGUUUCACAGCACAUAACCUGUUCCGGUCAAGCCAUACUAGCCAGUUGAAGCUAGCUGGCUGCUUACAAGGUUAGUUUUGAGUAACAGGGUUAAGUAGCUGGCUAGCUAGUAAUUUCAACAGGAGAACAAGCAAGUGGCUAUCUAGCUAAUGCUUACUCACAUUGAUUCGGUAUCCUCUAAGAAUAUUGAAAAUGACUGCCAUUUUUACUGGUCAUUGUUUUCAGGCGGGUUGCAUUGGUGCUAGCAAUGUACCAAGCUAAAGCUAGCUAGAGACAUAUAUUAUUAGCAACUUCUGGAGUAUCGAAGAUAUUUUUGAUCCUGAUCUAAUUGCAAAUGCUGACAAACAUUUUCCCAUUCGGUCAAACAAAUAAUGCCUUAUUACCAAUGCAGUAUUGUACAGCUUUGACAGUGAUCGUAAUGGUGGCGCUUGGCUUACAAUACAAUUCUAUAAUAUAACGUUAUUUGACGUGUCAAAUUUAAAGCUUAUUUGACAUACCAAAUAGUGCUAUAACAUGAAUCUUUGACACGUAAAGACCCAAUCGGCGUUCCAUACUAUUUCGCCCCAAAAAAUAGACAUCCCAUGUGUUUAGUCCAUCACUUUUAGUCCAAACUUAGCCAAAGAUCAGCCUGACCUCUAGCUUGCUGUAUUGAAAACAUGAGAUACACGAAAAUAACCAUAUAUCGCAUAGCCUAUAUUGAUUAAAUUAAAGGGACUUCAUGGAAAUAUCCACAAUAUCUAUAUUUUUUGGUUGACAUUUAACUUGUCAGACAUAGGCCGUUUUCGGUAAUAUUCUGCCUAUUGGGUGCAUAACUGAAUUUAUAAGAAUUUGAAUUCGGUAUUUUUUCCAAACUACCAUUUGGAUUCACUGACCUGGUGUCAGCUUCUCAUAUCAGGUAUGGGUGUCAUGGCAACAAAAUCAAUGAACGUUAUCGCCCAUAACCUAAAUGGAGAGCGAUUUGAGAUCAGCAUGGUGUUGGUGAACUGUUAAACAAGGGUUAGUGUUUGAAGUCUUCAACUUCAUUCCCAGACUCAUGUUUUGAGGAUUAUUCUGGGCUACCUGGCUCAGACAGGGAGAGUCCACUACUUAUACAGGUGAGUGUACAACAAAGUCUUUAGUGUUGUGAUGAUAUGUGCAUUUAUUUAUGAAUGUCUCUAGGUGCUGCUGUCGCCUUGCCAGGCCCGGGCCGCCGUGCUCUGCUGCGUGUGGCUGAGUGAUGCAGCGCUACGCUCAGAGCUGGUGCAGUUCAUGCUGGGAGGGAUGCAGAGCUGACUGGACAGCAGCAUAGUGUGUGAGGGGUAUGGUGGGGGAGUGUCUCCGCUCCUGCAUGGACAUCAACAGAGACAAGCUCAAAUUCAAGAUCAGUGCAAAUGAAAGAAAGGAGAAGAUGGAGGAAGCCACUGGAGACUGUUGAGGCGCACCCCUACAGAUGAGGAGACCAAGGAGCUGCUCUCACUGAUGAAUCAACUGUCUAAUGAAGAAACAGAUUUGACCUUGAGGAAGAUCCAAGGGCAGACUGUACCCUCUCAGGCAAUACCAACCCAGGUUGCUUCUGUGGCCCAGAAAUCAGGAGCGGACCCAAACUCAAGCUGGAUAGGUAAGAGAGGGCAUUAUCAUAAUCAAACCUAUAACACAAUACCGCUUGUUAUACACUACAUUUAUUAACAAUGUUGUCUGUGAAACUGAAGUUGUAUCUUUCAUUGAAAUCAUUACAACUUAAUGAAUCUUCCCACGGGCACUUAAGCAUGGUGUUGAACUCACCAGCUUGUAGUCCUAAAAAAUGGAAAUGAGUUACCUCUGGUUUGUUCAGCCAUUCCUGUGGGGAAAGAAUAGGGUUUUGGGGUAAAUGCCAAAAAUAAGGUCUGAGGUCAACACAGGUUUAGGAGAUCUUAUACGUUUUGUUCUAUGAGAUAAUCAGUCAGUUAACAUCACCUUUUAUGAAUUGAAGCCUUUGUGCUUCUUAUGAUUACAUAAAUGCUUUCAAUAUUCACAGUGAUGUUGGCUGAAAGAUUAUCAUAACAAAACAUAAGAUUUCCUAAGCCUGUGUUUACCACCAAACUUACUCUCUGCAUUUAUACAAAAACGCCAUUAAUUUCCCCAUAGAGUGGAGUUAGAGCCUACAAAAAGACGCCAUUUCUAUCUCUAUAGUGUUGUAUUAACUAGGCUAUAUCCUGUGUGUAUGAACCAGUGAUGAGUCGCUCACUCCCUAUGAUAUAACCCUUAUGGGCAGGGCCGUUAUUGCCAGGCCUUAGGGGGCCUGGCCCGCCCUACUGUACCUCCGUGCCCGUCCAAAUAAAAUACUGAUCAUUUAAAGUGCCUUCGGAAAGUAUUCAGACCCCUUGAAUUUUCCCACAUUUUGUUACAGCCUUAUUUAAAAAAUGAUUAAAUUGUUUCUCCCUCCCACCCCCCUCAAUCUACACACAAUAUCCCAUAAUGGCAAAGGAAAAAAGGGUUUGAAUUUUUUGCUAAUUUAUUAAAAAGAAACUUACAUUUACAUAAUAAUUCCAACCUUUUACUCAGUACUUUUGGCAGCGAUUAUAGCAUCGAGUCUUCUUGUGAAUGCUUUGUCAGGUUGUAU